ACUUUUUUGUAUCUUUUCACUAUAGAUUUAAUUUUAUAUGAUGAAAGGGGAGCUCUUAGCAGAAUACAGGAGAAACCCUUCCAUGACAAUCUCCCUAUGAGGAUACAGAACAACGAUGUGUACAGGAUCCUAUGUGUGAAUCAUUAGCCCACACACAUGUAAGGUCAAAUCGUGGGCCCUCAGAUUUGGCGUGGAGCUUAAAGGAGAUGAACAGUCUGGCCUUCAGAGACAUUUCUGGAUCCUGAAGAGCUACAGUGGACAACUCUAGGGAUUGUACUGGCACAUAUGACUAGGAAGGACUGAAGUCAGAAGACAGCCAUUGAAGAGUGACCCAACUGGAGAACAAGCAAAAAUCUGGAUGAAAAGUUGGAGCAUUUGAGAGGUAUUGGAACAGUUACCUACCUGGCAACAAUCCCAGAUUUGAUCCAGAGGUUAGCUGAACUGCCCAGCAGUUAUUGCUAUAUUUGCCAUGUUUGAAAAUAAGCGUUUUGGGGGAAUGUUUCAUUAUUUUUCCUUCACUUCCAAUUCCAGAAUCUUGCAUUCUGUGCCAA